AUUGGGUUGUUGUCAACUUGACUUCUGAUUACACGCAUCUCUGCAUAGAUCGACAUGGAUAGAAGUGUCAAUUGGGCUGUCCAAAGCCCAUUGGUCAUGUCCACUUGAACCAUUUUUUUCAUGGGUUUUAUUGGUUGGUCUUUAAUGGACAAUGGUCUGAAAAUUUGUCCAAGACCAUUAAAGACCAUUGUCCAAUGGUCAGCCCAUGGCCAGCCCAUACAAUGAUGUUUAUAUACAAUGAUGUUUAUAUACAAUGCAUUUUCACACAAUCUCGUUAAAAGCUCUAUUUAUAAAACCAUAACAUCAACAUGAAAUCAAACCAAAAUCUGUCAUCCAAGUUGCAACCUUAGAUCGGAUACCAUCAUAACCUAUAACAAUCUGUCAAAGACAUACAUCAUCAAAUCAGCCAUGUACUGAGAAUAAUAAACACAUAACCAUAGGCUCAGAGCUUAAGAGAACAGCCAUGCACCUGUUUCUUCCCAGUCUUGAAACGUUUAUGCAAGGGUGGUGUUUGUGUCCUCUUGACCUUGGAUCUCAUCAGUUUCUACAAUAAGAAAAACCGAGCUACUAAUCUAAAAGUUGCAGUCCAAAAGCCAUAUAAGUUUACUAUUAUAAACGAGUUCAAGAUGUGAAUAUUACCAACGUCUUGAAAUCCACGAAACCAGUUUCUAGUACAUAGGAGGGCUUGCACAUUAGUAGGUAAAAGGCAGCUUCUAUAUUUGUUAAGCACACGACUACCUAUACUAAAAGUUGAUUCCGAUGCCACGGUAGUGAUCGAAAUGCUUAAGAUAUCACAUGCCAUCGAUGACAAUUCUUUAAAACGCGAGACAUUGUUUUUCCAAUAUGCAAUAACAUCCAUAUCUCUAAAAGAGACCAUAUCUAACACAGGCUCUUCCAAGUACAUAUCUAAUGGUGAUUUUCCAGUUCCAUUUCUUUGAGAAAAGUAAGAGUAAAACCCCUGAAAUAUGACCAACAAAAGAAAAUAUGACCAGCCGUAUAGUUCAACAAUCACAACAGACAACCCAUUCUCACUAAGUAUAAGAAUGCAUUUUCAUAGCCACUAACUAUCACAACAAACAAACAUACAAGAACAAUACUGUAAACACACAAAAUUAGCAACUUACAUCAUAUCCAAAUGGGAUAUCCUUUCGUGAAGAUUGAGAAGUGCUUGCUGCAACGUUGCAUGUGGUUCUUUUAUAAGCUCCAAAUAGUUGAACCAUCUUAUCACGCACAUGAGUCAAGUUUUCCUUACUGGUCAAUGGAUUCAGAAUAUUAUAACAAUAUUCUAAAGCUGAGAAUUUCAAUCUUGGAUCAAGAACUGCAGCCAUCGCAAGAAUGUCGCUGAAAUCUUCCCAAUAUUUAUCAUAUUUCUCCGUCAUAUCUUCCACCAUUUCACGAAUAGCCCUAUCAUGAGAAUCAUCAUGAUCUCCCAGCCAACAUUUAAUCGCCCAUACUUGCAUAAAAUACACGUUUGCUGUCGGAUAAGACGAACCCGAAAUCAGCUUUGUAAUCUCAGCAAAUGGUUUCAAAAGGUCACAUAUCAGUUCUGCUCUUUCCCACUCCACAGCAGAUGGGAAACUCUUAUAACCCCUAUCUACUUCUGCAAGACUAUGCAAUACAUCCUUAAACUGAAUUGCUCGUGAGAGCAUAUGAUAAGUGGAGUUCCAGCGGGUUGAGACAUCUAAAACUAAACUUGCCUCAGUUUGAAUUCCAAUUGUAUCCAUACAGUUCUGAAAUAAAUUUUCUCGAGUCUCAGAUCCUUUCACAUACUUCACAGUCUCUCUAAUUUUCUCCAAAGCUCCAGAUAUCACUUCCAAACCAUCUUGAACUAUCAAGUUUAGGAUAUGUGCUGAACAUCUCACAUGAAAGAAUUCUCCGCUGCAGACAAGAUGUUUUUGUAGCUUUCUCUUUAAAAUGCUUUGCAUAGUAUCAUUUGCAGAAGCAUUAUCUACAGUUAAAGUAAAAACUUUCUUCUCAAUUCCCCAAUCUUUCAACAGCUCACUAAGCUUCAUUGCUAUAGCUACUCCAGAAUGUGGAGGCGGGAAAGCACAGAAAGAUAAGAUCUUCGUUUUCAGAACACCAUCAACAUCUACAUAAUGAGCUGUUAAGCAAAUAUAACUUUCAACAGUUAAAGCUCUCCACAAAUCUGUUGUUAAGCAUAUUCUACCCGGGAUUAUAGCUAACUUUUCCUUAAGCUUAAUUUUCUCUCUUUCAUAAAUCUUGUAGACAUCAGAAGCUGCAGUAUUUCUGCUCCAAAAUUCUAUAGAAGGGUUAACAUAUGUAAAGGCUUCUCUAAUUCUUUCAUAUUCGACAAACGAAUAUGGAAGAUUAUGUUGAACUAAAGCCACUGCAAUCAUUUCUCUAAAGACCAUCAUAUCCACCUUUCUGCUAAUUCUAGGUGUACUUCCAGGAGUCUUCUCACAAGAUCUCAUAUGACGAUUCAUGGUAUUAGUACCAUUUCGUCUCAGAUUCAAGUGAUAAGUCUGCUCACAAUAUUUGCAUGUAACCUCAGUUUUCCCAUUAGGAUAUUUUUGUCCUCUAUCGAAGUUUUUCCAGCAUGCAGCACGAAAUCUACUUACACUACUUUUACCUCUCUCAACUGUCCCUGAAGAAGCAGUGUCAUGAGGUAGUAUCUGAUCCAUUUCUGGAUCUUCAUCGUCCAUUUCUUGAUCCUCAAGAUUAAAGUUGUCUUCAUCAACCAAGUUUUGAGUAUCCAAUUCCAUAUUUCUGACACAAAUAAAGACAUAAACACGUUUAGCAGUGAUAAACAAAGACUGAACAGAGGUCAAUGGGCUAGCUCCAUUAGAAAAGUACAUAACAUGUGGGAAUAUCUUAUCCACUAUGGAUAAAAAAAGAAGAACAAGGAUCCUUAAACAAAAGCAAUAAUCUAGUGUUUAAACAAGGAUCCUUAAAUUAGCUUACAACACAAAGGGUCUCUACAUAUUGAUGUGCUUCAAUUCAUAAUGAAAUUCGAAAUGGCGAACCAUAAACAAAAUCUGAAAAGUGCCCAUUUGCUAGCUAGCUCUCCUCAUAUCCAAAAAGCUAAGAUUCUUUCAGAAACACUAACAAUUGAAAUUUGGACAAACCCACAAGCUAGUAGAACUAACCGGAGUAGGAGUUGAGAGAGAUGUCGAGCUUGGUCGUCGCCGAGAGAGAGCUUUGUCGCCGGGAGAGAGAGCGUCGUUGCCGAGAGAGAGAGAAGAGAAGAAAAUUGAUGUGUUGAAAAAAUUGAUGGGCCAACCAUAAACCGUGUGGGCUAGCCCAUUAAACCCAUAGACAAAAUUGGUCUUUAGACCAUAUACCCCGUUUUCAUUACGGGCCGACCAUGGACUGUCCAUAAUAUUGUGGACUGGGCUCAGCCCAUGGUCAGAUGACCAUUUGACACUUCUAGACAUGGAUCAACAACACGAAAAUUUGAAUACAGUUACCAUAAUCUUGCACAACUCUCCAGAUUGUUCCCAUAAUGUUUCACAAUAUGGUCAUAUACUCAUAUUGUUAUCCACGUACGAU
rnacentral:sRNA from 1 species